rnacentral:rRNA from 1 species
UACGUAGGGGGCGAGCGUUGUCCGGAAUUACUGGGCGUAAAGGGCGCGUAGGCGGCCUGUCAAGUUAGAUGUGAAAUCCCCGGGCUCAACUUGGGUGUUGCAUUUAAAACUGACGGGCUUGAGUGCAGGAGAGGAAAGCGGAAUUCCUAGUGUAGCGGUGAAAUGCGUAGAUAUUAGGAGGAACACCGGUGGCGAAGGCGGCUUUCUGGACUGUAACUGACGCUGAGGCGCGAGAGCGUGGGGAGCAAAC